rnacentral:tRNA from 1 species
ACAUGGGUGGCUUAGUUGGUUAAAGCAUCUGCUUUCAGCUCAGAUCUUGAUCUCAGAGUCCUGGGAUCAAGCCCCAUGUU